rnacentral:rRNA from 1 species
UACGGGGGGGGCAAGCGUUGUUCGGAAUUACUGGGCGUAAAGGGUGCGUAGGCGGCUUGCUAAGUUUGAUGUGAAAUCCUGGGGCUCAACCCUGGGACUGCAUUGAAUACUGGCAGGCUAGAGUACUGGAGAGGAAACUGGAAUUUACGGUGUAGCAGUGAAAUGCGUAGAGAUCGUAAGGAAGACCAGUGGCGAAGGCGAGUUUCUGGACAGUUACUGACGCUGAGGCACGAAGGCCAGGGGAGCAAACGGG